GAUGAACGCUGGCGGCGUGCUUAACACAUGCAAGUCGAACGAAGCACCUUGAUUUGAUUCUUCGGAUGAAGAUCUUGGUGACUGAGUGGCGGACGGGUGAGUAACGCGUGGGUAACCUGCCUCAUACAGGGGGAUAACAGUUAGAAAUGACUGCUAAUACCGCAUAAGACCACAGCACCGCAUGGUGCAGGGGUAAAAACUCCGGUGGUAUGAGAUGGACCCGCGUCUGAUUAGGUAGUUGGUGGGGUAACGGCCUACCAAGCCGACGAUCAGUAGCCGACCUGAGAGGGUGACCGGCCACAUUGGGACUGAGACACGGCCCAAACUCCUACGGGAGGCAGCAGUGGGGAAUAUUGCACAAUGGGGGAAACCCUGAUGCAGCGACGCCGCGUGAGCGAUGAAGUAUUUCGGUAUGUAAAGCUCUAUCAGCAGGGAAGAAAAUGAUGGUACCUGACUAAGAAGCACCGGCUAAAUACGUG
rnacentral:rRNA from 1 species